rnacentral:rRNA from 1 species
UACGGGGGGUGCGAGCGUUGUCCGGAAUCACUGGGCGUAAAGGGCGCGUAGGUGGCGUGAUAAGGGUGUGGUGAAAGCCCGGGGCUCAACCCCGGGUCUGCCAUGCCGACUGUCAGGCUAGAGUACUGUAGGGGCAGGCGGAAUUCCGGGUGUAGCGGUGGAAUGCGUAGAGAUCCGGAGGAAGACCGGUGGCGAAAGCGACUUCCUGGACCAAUACUGACGCUCAUGUGCGAAAGCGUGGGGAGCAAACAGG